CCUACUGGAGACAUCAUUGAGGCAUCUUGGUCAAUGGCCGGAAGGCUGAACCAGCCAAGUCGCGUGAGGUCCUCCUUCCCUCUUUUUUUUCCCCCUCUUUUCUCCUUUCCUCCUCCCUUCUUCUUUUAUCAUGAUGCCUGUACCUUAUGAAAAAGCAUCGUCUAACUCCGUGCCAGCCGCCUCGGUAAUACGGAGGAUGCGCUCGUUAUCCGGAUUUAUUGGGUUUAAAGGGUGCGUAGGCGGUUUUUUAAGUUAGUGGUUAAACGUCGGGGCUUCACCUUGAUUUGCAAUUAAUACUGUAAGACUCGAGUUCAGACGAGGUAGGCGGAAUAAGUUAAGUAGCGGUGAAAGGCUUAGAGAUAACUUAGAACUCCGAUAGCGAAGGCAGCUUACAAGACUGCGACUGACGCUGAAGCACGAGAGCGGGGGGAGCGAACAGGAGGAGAGAAAAAGGGAGUC
rnacentral:rRNA from 1 species